rnacentral:lncRNA from 1 species
GUCCACAAAAGGCCACCUGUGAGGAGCAUCCAUUGUUCAAGAUAUUGUAUAUAUUAAGCAUUUGUUUGGAUUUUUUUUUUUUCUCUAUAGGAUUGGAUUGAUAAUUUUGUAAGAUUUAUAGAUUGAGUACAACUAACAAGAUCACAUGACUAUAGGUUAGACUAGAUUUAUAUUCAUAAAAUAUCCAAGAAUUGCUUUGAAAUGAGUUGAUAUAAAUUUUAUAGGGAGAAAAAAAGGACUUGGAUUUUUUUUUCUUCUAGACCCACUUCAAAGUUACUUCUAGAUAUUUUAUGAAGAUAGAUUCAACUUAUUACAAUGGUUCAAUGAAUCCUAUAGAAUUUUUAGCAUAUAGAAAAUUUCAAAUAGAUCCUAAAGGAUUCUUUCUCCCUAUAUAUUGAAGUAGAGAAGAUUGGGAUCGAGUUACUGCAUGAGGUUGGACUUUGGAAUCUUCCGAGUAGGGAUAGCAAUGGAUCAGGUUGAUUGAUACUUGUAUCUAUCUCGACAGAAAAAAAUCAUAUCCAUAUCAUCACAUAUCCAUCUCGUUUCGGGUCAAAUAUAUCUGAAUUGGUCUCCCUUCCUCCUCCCCCAUCUUCGUCAUUGGCCCACCACCAUUGCGGUCUGAUCCAACCAUCUUCAAAUCCUAUAAAAUAUCAUGCUUCCACCAAGACUAAGCUCUCAAAAACCUCAAGAGACCAACUCAUACCGCCAUAACUCGCACAAAAUUUUAUAUGCUCGAGAAAAAACCCCGAUCAAAACCUAAAAAUCCC